AGAGUUUGAUCAUGGCUCAGGACGAACGCUGGCGGCGCGCCUAACACAUGCAAGUCGAGCGAGAAUCUUGGAAGGGGCAACCCUUCUGAGAGGAAAGCGGCGAACGGGUGAGUAACACGUGAGGAACCUGCCCCGGACUCUGGGAUAACAGCGGGAAACCGCUGCUAAUACCGGAUACUCCAUCCUCUUCUCAUGAAGAGAAUGGGAAAGUUUUUCGGUCCGGGAUGGCCUCGCGGCCUAUCAGCUAGUUGGUGGGGUAAUGGCCUACCAAGGCGACGACGGGUAGCUGGCGUGAGAGCGUGGCCAGCCACACAGGGACUGAGACACGGCCCUGACUCCUACGGGAGGCAGCAGUGGGGAAUCUUGCACAAUGGGCGAAAGCCUGAUGCAGCGACGCCGCGUGAGGGAUGACGGCCCUAGGGUUGUAAACCUCUUUCAGCAGGGAAGAAGCGAAAGUGACGGUACCUGCAGAAGAAGCCCCGGCUAACUACGUGCCAGCAGCCGCGGUAAUACGUAGGGGGCGAGCGUUGUCCGGAUUUAUUGGGCGUAAAGAGCGCGUAGGUGGUUUGUAAAGUCGGAUGUGAAAGUCCAGGGCUUAACCCUGGGAUGCCAUUCGAUACUUGCAAACUAGAGCAUGGUAGGGGGAUCUGGAAUUCCUGGUGUAGCGGUGAAAUGCGCAGAUAUCAGGAGGAACACCGGUGGCGAAGGCGGGAUCCUGGGCCAUUGCUGACACUGAGGCGCGAAAGCUGGGGGAGCGAACAGGAUUAGAUACCCCGGUAGUCC
rnacentral:rRNA from 1 species